UGAGAAGACCCAGAAGGACAACCUCUGC
rnacentral:piRNA from 1 species